GACGAACGCUGGCGGCGUGCUUAACACAUGCAAGUCGAGCGGUAAGGCCCUUUCGGGGGUACACGAGCGGCGAACGGGUGAGUAACACGUGGGUGACCUGCCCUCAGCUCUGGGAUAAGCCUGGGAAACCGGGUCUAAUACUGGAUAUGACUCCAUGACGCAUGUUGUGGGGUGGAAAGCCUUGUGCGGCUGAGGAUGGGCCCGCGGCCUAUCAGCUUGUUGGUGGGGUGAUGGCCUACCAAGGCGACGACGGGUAGCCGGCCUGAGAGGGCGACCGGCCACACUGGGACUGAGGCACGGCCCAGACUCCUACGGGAGGCAGCAGUGGGGAAUCUUGCGCAAUGGGCGAAAGCCUGACGCAGCGACGCCGCGUGAGGGAUGACGGCCUCGGUUGUAAC
rnacentral:rRNA from 1 species